ensembl:lncRNA
GUUUAUCCCACUGGGGAAACUCCGUUAUCCUUUCCUUGUUACUAUCUACUGUUUGUUUAUGCAUUUCUGUGAAUUAAUUCGUUAGUAAAUCAAUGAUUUAAGACAAUUGAUGUAUGGAUGACUCAUAGUGAAGACUGGGUUCGUGCUGAUAACCAACAAUUUACGACGUUUGGAAUGAGACUAACGUGAGCUGGCCCAUCUUGCGGAAAUCUCUCAAUUCUGCCUCAAGGACAAGACUCAUCCCAAUAAACAUCAACCUGCUUAACAGGCAUUAGAUUUUUCCAUCUAUUGCAGGAUAAAUCAAUGUUAGAAUAUACAUAGCUGGACAUAAAUGGAUGCUGCAUUUUACUUUAUGGGUUGGUUAUGUAGGCUUCUUCUAGCCUAUUGCUUUAUACUACAGAUAAUUAUACGAUUAGGCUAUAUCUUUACAUUAAACACAGAGUCUGUCAGAUUUCCAGUCAUUCCAGUUAAUUUAAUACUCCUUGAUCUUCAAGAAUGGGACUUGGAAAUAUAGAUUACCAAAUUGUUUUAGCUGAGCAUAACCACAAAACUAAGGGCUAAUUAGGUUAGGUCAGGGUGUGACGAGGGUGGUAACAGUGUGUUUGUCCUGUCUAGGAUUUUUGUAUGUUUAUGGGGUUUUCUGAUCUAGGUGUUUUUAUGUCUAUGGUUGCCUAGAUUGGUUCUCAGUCAAUCAGAGGCAGCUGUUUAUCGUUGUCUCUGAUUGGGGACCAUAUUUAGGUAGCCAUAUUCCUUGGGUAUUUCGUGGGUUAUUGUCUAUGGUUAGUUGCAUGUCAGCACUCGUUAUAUAUAGCUUCACGUUUGUUUUGUUGUUUUGUAUAGUUUGUUUAAGUGUUCUUUGUUUUCAUCUAUAUGAUGAAUGUGACAGGCGCGUAAUUCAAAUAAAUAAUCGUAAAAAUUAUGGAUAUUAAACAUCUAGGUACAUACAAGUGUCUUAUAUCGUUUUAAAGCUUAAAUUCUUGUUAAAGCAUGCCAUGCGAUUGUUUAAGGACGGCGCCCCACAUCGAGAUAUUUUUCAACCAGCACAGGCUUCGUAAAAUCAAAAAUAGUGAUUAAAUAUUCACUUACUUUUUGAAAAUCUUCCUCUAAUUUCCAAUCCCAAGGGUCCCAGCUACAACAUGCAUGAUCGUUUUGUUAGAUAAAAUCCUUCUUUAUAUCCCAAAAAGUCUGUUUAGUUGGCGCCAUCGAUUUGAGUAAUCCACUCUUUCAACUUGCAGAGAAUGGAAUCUAAAAAGCUCUAUGUUUAAACAGGUCAAAAUAUGUUUCUAUUCAAACCCCAGGUACCCUAAAAUGUCAUUAAACUAUUAUUUUUCAUACGGAAAGAAGUAUGUUCAAUAGAAAAGCUAAAUUAGCAAGUGCCACCAGACUGAUUUCCAACUCUGACUCCCUGUACCAAAACUCAAAAUUCUUCCUCGUUUGGGAAGAAACAAGCCUGAAACCUAGAACAAAGACUGCUGACAUCUAGUGGAAGGCAUAGGAAUUGCAAUCUUGGAGCUGGAAUUGCAUAGCUUUCCGUUGAAAGAGCAUGGGCUCAAUUGUUUUUUUCCGAGUUGGUUUUACUUUGUAUUUUUGGCUACCAUAUCAAUUGUGUUAUAGUCUCAUACAUUAUUUUAACAUUUCUACAAACCUCCAAGUGUUUUCUAUCAAAUGGUACCACUUAUAUGCAUAUCCUGGCUUCUGGGCCUGAGUAACAGGCAGUUUACUUUGGGUACAUCAGUCAGAUAGGAAGUGGAGAAAAAUAGACCCGAGCCUGAAGAAGAUUUAUAAUUAUUAAACUUGUUUUUGUCAGUAUGGAGAACAAUACCAUGGGGGAGUUUAGAAGGGAGGAACUCAAACUUGUAUUCCAUAGGCUGGGAUCCACACUAUGCAGCUGUUACAUUUUUCACUGGCUGUCCACUGGGGAUUAGCCUAGGCCUAGUC